UUUUUUCAAAAAAAAUAAAAAAGGGAUAGACCUGUUGCAACUUAACCGGUCUCCCUUACUCACCAAAAUAACAUAAAUGAAACCCUAACGCAUAUUCUUUGUUCCGCCACUCUGCCUCCAACAAUCAAUCUCCAUCUGAUCUCCUUCAUCUUUCUUUUCCUCUUCUUCUAUCUCCUAUCUUUCCUCUUAAAUGAAUUUCAUCUCCUUUAAUUUCCCGGAUAAACCCUCCUGUUCGGAGCGUCAAAAUCGUCGAAAUCAAGUGUUGAUUUGGUGAUGAGUGUUGAAGCAAUUUAUUGCAGUUUGCGAGGUUUGAUGAAGCGUUUCCAGUUCUCGAACUCGAAAGAGCGAUUUAAGUUAUAUUAUCAUGGUUUAGAAGCGUUUUAUGGGUUUAUGCCGUUAGAUGAUACUCAUUUUAUGUUGGGUUGAUAAAUCGAUUGAUUGUUAUAAAGAUGAAUUGAAGAUCUAGAUUCAAAGGAUUAUGAUCCCAAAUUUUCCGAGAAUACUUAUAUGCUUGUUUUUUUACACAAGAAUCUCAUAACAAAAGAAAGAGGAAGAAGUUGGAGUACUCAAGUAGUCAAGCUACAUGUUUGAUAUAAUUAUAUGUACUAGAAUUUAAUUAAAGUUUGUUAAAAUUCUUUGUUAGUACAAACAUUAAUGUGGCAAUAUCAAUAUAUUAUUCUCUUUUAA